rnacentral:rRNA from 1 species
UACGAAGGGAGCUAGCGUUGUUCGGAAUCACUGGGCGUAAAGCGCACGUAGGCGGAUGUGUCAGUCAGGGGUGAAAUCCCGGAGCUCAACUUCGGAACUGCCUUUGAUACAGCACAUCUGGAGUCCGGAAGAGGUGGGUGGAAUUCCUAGUGUAGAGGUGAAAUUCGUAGAUAUUAGGAAGAACACCGGUGGCGAAGGCGGCCCACUGGUCCGGUACUGACGCUGAGGUGCGAAAGCUAGGGGAGCAAACAGG